GCUGGGCGUAGUGGUGCAUGACUGUAAUCCCAGCUGCUCAGGAGGCUGAGGCAGGAGGAUCGUGAGUUCAAAGCCAGCCUCAACAACUUAGCAAGACGCUAAGCAGCUCAGUGAGACCCUCAGUGAGACCCUGCCUUUA
rnacentral:sRNA from 1 species